AGCCUGCCCACUGAUUUAGUUUAAAGGGCCGCGGUAUAUUGACCGUGCGAAGGUAGCAUAAUCAUUAGUCUUUUAAUUGAAGGCUUGUAUGAAUGGUUGGACAAAAAGUAAGCUGUCUCAAUUAUAAUAAUUGAACUUAACUUUUAAGUGAAAAGGCUUAAAUAAAUUAGGGGGACGAUAAGACCCUAUAAAGCUUGACAAUAACUUAAUUAUACUAUCAAUUGUUAGUGUAACUUGGUUUUAAUUAAGAUUUGUUGCGUUGGGGCGACGAGAAUAUAAUAGGUAACUGUUCUUAAAUAUUUAAUGACAAAUAUAAUUGAAAAUUAGUGUGAUCCUCUAUUAGCGAUUAAAAGAUUAAGUUACUUUAGGGAUAACAGCGUAAUCUUCUUUGAGAGUCCCUAUCGACAAGAAGGUUUGCGACCUCGAUGUUGAAUUAAGGUAUCCUUAUGAUGCAGCAGUUAUAAAGG
rnacentral:rRNA from 1 species